CCAGCUCCAGGAGGGAGAGGAGAGGCUUCAAGGCAAUGGACCUCUGUUUUCUGCUCCAAGCUCAGACCCUUCCUGGAAUAGGAGGAAUCUUGAGAUCUCGGGUUUCUCACCUGAUCCAUCCUGGGGAUGAGGAAAGAUUCACAGAAGAGAGCGCAGGAGGGCAGCAUCAAGGUUAAGAGAACUUUGGCCACCUGGCUCUGAGAACUGAAUUCCAUAGGCUGUGAGCUCUAGCAAAUGCCCUAGGGACUCAGUUCUGGUGCCCGGCUGCGCUACACCAUCAAUACUGAGGUCACAGGGCAUCAGCCAGGUGCUGCCACUGGCCCAAUCUUUUAACAACUUCAGUUCAAGCCACUCUUCUUGUCAGAGACUUCAAUGGCUCCCCAAAACUCCUCACUUUGCCGUUAAAGUCUUUCGAAGUAUGGCCUCCACUUAGCUUUGAAGCCUGACCCUCCACUGCUUCCUGGUUAUAACCUGCCUUCCAGUGAAACCCUGCUCCUUCCUGCUCCUUCUGCCACGCUUUUACUUGUGCUGACCCCUCCUCAGUUCUUCUCUGGACACCUCCUUUUCAUCGCUGUUAGAUUCCUACACCUCCUUCAAAGUCUUUCUCAGAUGCCUCUUACAAGAAGCUUCUCCAGUGCCUCAAUGAUGCAUAUGAUGUCCUACAAAUCCUCCACACUCUGCUUCCAGUGGGGCUUGAUUCAUGAGCCCCAUGAUGACUAGUCUAGUAUUCUUCAGAGUGGCUGUUCAAUAAAUGUUCCUUGUAUUUUGCUGAGCAUGUCUAAUGUAUGAAAAGGCCUAUAUGUUAAGGCUACGUCAGAUUUCCCAGGUUUAUAGGCCUCAGUUUCCUUAUCUGUAAAUGGGGAUAAUAAUUAUAUACACAUCAAGGUUUUGUGAAAAUUAAAUGAUAGUUUCUGUACAGGGCUUAGCACAGUGCCUGCACACAGUAAGUGCUCAGUUAAGUGUGUAAGAUUGUUGUGAUAAUUACCCUCCUUUCAGUAGAAUGUGAGUUACCCAGUUGGGAGGUGGGAUAGGGUUUAAAAUUGGUCAGUCAUGGUUUAUUGGCAAAGGGCUCUAAACCAAAUGCCAGGGUUGGGUAAGGCUGGGGGAAAGCCAGGAGGAGAAGUCCAUCAGGAUGAGAGUAUGGUGGCUCAAGACCCACUGAAAUAGGGACAGUAGGUAGAUUCCCACCUACUGUGUGACCUUGGGUGAGUCACUCCUCUCUGGCCUUGGUUUCCCAACGGAAGGUAACUUGAGGAGGUUGAGCCAGGUAAACAGUAAAGUCUCUGGCAGCCCUGAUGUUUUAUGAGUUCUAAGCUUCUAAGGGUUAAGUUCAAAGAAAAGAUCAAAGAAAGAAACAUCUAGGACUCCCUGCAGGGCUUCCUUACAGCCACAGACAGGGCUGGAGCACUGGGGUUUGGAAGCAAUGGCAGGCUGGACUGAGCUGAGUAGCAGCCCUUCCUUCAAAAAGUCUAUAAUUGGGGACCUCCUCCCUCACCGGGGCUGGGGGAUAGGGGUAAAUUAUGUGCAGUUUCUGGAUAUUUCCAGGGCAUAAGUGAAGGCCUUGGGGGAAGAAUGUGUGUGAGCAAUGUGGAUUCUUAGAGAUGAGGAGAGUUGAGAGACUUUAAGAGUGGGCCUGAGAGGGUAGAAGAGGAAGGGGAUUCAGAAAAAAAUCUUAUAUGGUGGGAGAUUCAUGAUUUACUUAACCUGCUGUGUUUCAAAAAAAAAGAAAAAGGAUUUGAGGAGGCUUACCAGCAUGUAGAAAAUUCUCUAAGAUUAAAAUAUAAAAUCUGUGACAAAUUACAUUUUAAAUGUGUAUCCUUUUUGAUCCAGAGACUCAAUAUCCUUAUUAUCACUAGUUUUAGUUAGAAAUUGUUUCAGACUUACAGAAAAGUUGCAAGAAUAGUACAAAGAACUGUGACUUAACCUUAUACCAGAUUCACCAACUGUUAACCUUUUUCUUUUUCUUUUUUUUUGCCAUAUUGCUUUCUUUAAUAUAUAGUCCUCAUUCAAAUCUUGCUACUUGUCCCAACAUUGUCCUUCAUAACAAUGUUCAUUCUGGUCUAGCAUCCAAAAGAGGAUCAUGCAUUGCAUUUAGUUUUCAUGUCUGUUUCAUCUCCUUUGACUUGAAACCUUUGUUUGUUAUGACACUGACAUUUUUGAAAAUUUUUCUCUCAAUUUAGGUUUUUGUUUCCUGAUGAUUAUGCCUUACCACUGAAUUUUUGAUGUUGUAUUUUUUCAGUUUAACAUAUCCAAAGCACAUGAUGUCAGUUUGUCUCCAUUAAAGAAAAAAAUUAAAGACACUCAUUAAAGAUGGUAAGGAAAAAAAAAUGGUAAGAAAGAUUUUGUUUAAGAGGGACUACUGCAAUGGGGUUAUUAACAUGUUACCCACCACUUUUCCCUAUUAUACUAUUAGGUUACUAUUUUCUUCAGGUUAAUAUUUUAAAAUUUGUAAUUAAUAAAUAUCUUAUUGGAACAUACAUGAAACUAUAUAAAUACCAGGUUUUUCAUCAGACUUUCACCCAUUAUUUUUAGUGUCCAGGAAUGAGUCUCACUUGAAUCAUUCAUUACUGUGAUGAUUGGGGAUGGUAAUUUUCUAAUUUCAUUUUUCCUUCUUCUAUAAGGAGAGCUUUCCAGUCACAUGUAUUUAUUUAGUUAAUAUUAGCAUGGACUUAGGGAUCCUUAUUUUAUUCAGAAGGUUAUAAUCUGUUACUGUGAUUAUUUGUUUUGAUGCUUACAGUGUCCUUGAUUCGGUCAGUGGAAGUCCCUUCAAGUUGGCGCCUUUGUUCUUUUGAUAUUUUUGAGGAGUCCUUUAAUUUCUGGCACAAGUUGUUCCAGGCUCAUCUUGUACCUUUCCUGCCACAGCCUUGAAAUCAGCCAUUCUCCCAAGGGGAGUGGUUCCUUUUUUGGAGGAUGGAAUUUAGAAUCACAGAUCUGGGCACUGGCUGUGCUUGUUGCUACCAGGGUGUCAUUGUUCAAUGAUUCAAUCUCUAAUUUUAAGGUUUCAGAUUCCACAAUUUAACACUUGUAUAUGUAAACAAAGAUGCAUAUUCAAGGACAUUUAUUUUCUCAUCACUCUCUCAGCUUAUUUCUCAAAUGUCUCCUAACUGUUCUCCCUAUUUCUACAAUGGCCCCUCUAUAGUCUCUUUUCCACACAUCAUCCAGAAUAAUUUAAAAAAAAAUCUCAUCACAUUUCCCUGUGCUCAUAAUCUCCUCUAAGGAAAAAAAUCCAAAAUUUUCUACAUGGCUUCAAGAUGCCACAGGAUCCAGCUUCAUCUGUAACUUCAUUAACUAUUCAGUUCAGUUCAGUCACUCAGUCAUGUCUGACUCCUUGUGACCCCAUGAAGCACAGCAUGCCAGGCCUCCCUGUCCAUCACCAACUCCCAGAGUCCACCCAAACCCAUGUCCACUGAGUCGGUGAUGCCAUCCAUUAACUGUUACAUUCCCACUAACUCACGGGACAAGGACACCCCAGCCAAGGGUGUUUGUACUUGCUUUUCUCCCCCAGCUAUUUAAAUAGCUUGCAAAGCUCUUUAUUAGGUCUUCACUGAAGAGUCAUCUCUUCUGAGAAGCCUUCCCUAAGUAUCCUGCUGAAAAUAGCACCCCAUCACUUACUGCUGUAUGACACUGCAUUGUAUAUUCCCCUUUGCUUAUUGUCAGUCUUCAUUUCCCUACAUUACAUCUCUAAAGUAAGCUCUAUCAAGAGCAGAGAGUUGUUUAUUUUUCUCCUAGAGCCCCAGUGCCUAGAAUACUGCCCAGCACAUGUGGGCUUUCAAAUGCCUGUUAAGUCAAUGAAGAUGACUUUCAUUCCUUGGGACUUUUGCAUUUACCAUACUUUCUGCCUGGCUUCCCCUCACCCUUCUCUUUGCACAGCUAGCUUUUUCAUAUUCUUUAGGUCUCAGCUUAAAUGUUUUCCAUAAGGACAGAAACUGCCAUGGCUAUCUCAUUCACGACUAUAUCCUCAGGGCCUGCAAUAGUUCUUGGCAAAUAAAAGGCAUUCAAGAAAUUUGUUGAAUGGACUUUUAAUAGCUAAAAACUGAAAAGAAUCCAAAUGCUAUAGACUGUUAAAGAAUGAGGUAACACCAUGUGCACUGGCAUAAAACGAUGUCCAAGAUAUACUUAGUGUAAAAUGCAACAAGCAAGACUGCAAUUCCUUUUAUGUAGGUAAUAUGAGGUGCACAGAAAAAAACAGUAAAAAAUACUAGAUUGGACCUCAGUAAUCAUUUGCGGGUGAUGGUCUUCCCAGGUGGCCCUAGUGGUAAAGAACCCUCCUGCCAAUGCAGGAGACAUAAGAGACACAGGUUAAGUCUCUGGGUCAGGAAGAUCCCCUGCAGGAGGAUACGGCAACCCAUUCCAGUAUCCUUGCCUGGAGAAUCUCAUGGACAGAGGAGCCUGGUGGGUGACAGUGCAUAGGGUCACACACAGCUGGACACAACUGAAGGGACUUAGCAUGCCACACAAAAUAUCAGAACAGAUUUUAAUUCUCCAUUUAAUAAAUUUCAGUAUUGCAAACUACUUUUUAAAAACAAAUAAUAACCUUUGAGCACUUAGUAUAUGACAGUUAUUGUGGUAAACACUUUGUGUGCAGGAUUUCAUGAUAUCUUCUCAAUAAUCUUAUGAGAUAAGUCCUGAUACCAUCAUCCCCAUUCGCGAUGAGGAAAUUGGUUCAGGGACAUUAAAUAGUUCACUCAAGGUCACACAGUAGACCUAACACACUACAACAACUCCCUGUGUUUCCAUAAUUUAAAAAAAUAAGGAAAGGAAAAUAAGAUGAAACUAGGGGUAACAGUUCAGGAUCCAGGUUUUACACAAAAGAUGCUAAGCAAAUUUGGCUCCCCAGAAACCAGGGCAAAGAGAAAAAUAUGAUCAAUUAUGAGAUCCUUGGUGCUUCACAGAUAAAAAAACCAUUCAUCAGGAGAAACAUCGUUACCAAGUGCUGAGGUUUAACAGAACUUCUGCAUGAAGCUCAUAAUUAUAGCAGUGUUCAAUCAAGUGAUCUGCAGUUUCAGUAACAUACCUGUAUACCCAGGUAUCUUCUGGCCAACUACAAAUGGAAGUUCACUGAAAGCAUUUCCAUGAGGAGCCAAACUUAUGCAGCCUGGGUCUUAGAUCUGGUGGUAUGGCUAGAGCUGUAGUUAAAAUUCGAUGUGUGGCUUAAUCCUCCAGCAAACUCCUAGAAUAGCGCACAUUCAACCUAUUAAAGACUGUCAGCAAGAAGGAGGAGACAAGAUACAAAUAUAUGUAUGACUGAGUCCCUUCGAUGUUCACCUGAAACUAUCACAACAUUGUUUAUCGGCUAUCCCACAAUAUAAAAGUUUAAAAAGAAUCAGGAAACAAGAUGUGACAUUCAUCUUAGAUUUCAACCCUGGUAAAAUUUCCAGGUAGGCUGUACUAGUUUUAUUCUUCUUUAACAGAUGAAUAAACUGAGGCUCAGAGAGUCUAGAAAAUGUCAGUCAGUUCAGUUCAGUCCGUCCAACUCUUUGCAACCCCAUGGACUGCAGCAUGACAUUCCUCCCUGUCCAUCACCAACUCCCAGAGUUUACCCAAACUCAUGUCAGAGCCAGCCCUAAAUCUGUGUCUUAGGGAUCCCUUCCUCAGCCAUGCUUGCCAUCCACACCUCAACAAAAUAGCUGAUGCCCUCAGAAUCUCUCUAUGGGUGGUGGGCCUCAGGACCUAGGAGAAAGUCCUCUUGCACUGGAAGGGAGCUGGUUAAGGGAAAUGGGGCCCGGCGAGUGAGGAAGUACACAUUUCCCACUCUAAUUCCUGACACCUUGUACCCCAAAAAGGGAAGUAAGGCUCACAUUACAUAGAUGAAGAAACCCCACCUCCACCCCCAAACAUAAAAACAAUCUUAAAGCCUACACCUGACUUCAGUCAUUUACUUUUCUUUACAGGCUGGGAAUAAGUGGGCCCUCAGCUUGGGGAGUUAGGGCAGAUUUCCUGGAGAGAAGAGACGAAAAAGGGCACGUGGGGGCUCAUUGCAGGGCAGGGUUCAUGGGGAGGAGGUUGGGCAGGGAGGAAACAAAGGGUCCAGACCCUUCCUCCACCACACGCUCAGGCUUUCCAAGUCCAAGGAGAAGGAAGGAGUAACAGGACACCCACUCAGAUCUCUUUGAUCCCUUUUCGCCCUCGCCCCGCCAUCCUGCAAAAACCUGAAAUCAAGGAAGAGCAGCAAGCCAGCGGUGCUUAAAAAAAAAAAAAAAAAGGCAAAAAUACAGGUGACAGGUGCACCCAGCCCCAGCGCAUAGCUGCGGCGGCAGGAAAACGGCGCGCGUGCUCACCGUCGCCUGCCGCCGGGCCUCGCGCGCCCUCAGCUCAAGCCUUCCUCUUCUGCCGGCGGCCGCGCUCCACCGCUUCCCCCGCGGGACUGUUGUCCCCGCUGUCGCUGCUGGCCGGCGGCCACAGGGCUCCCCUCUCGACGCGGUUCUCGG
ensembl:lncRNA